GACGGGGAAAGGGCGGCGAGGACUGAUGAAGGAAGGUACCGGACGUGACCGCCAAUGGGGAUUUGAAGUCUUCCCACACAUAUGAGAAGAAAUGUCUGGACGCCAUGAGGGAGGAUAGGAGCCGGGGAACGGAGGUGUCAAUCGCCUGUCACUGAAUGCAGUCUUUCCGAGACAUACGACAAGGUACAAGAAGUUGGGAAGGAAACAGCUCUCAGCAGCUUCCAGGAUCGUAUUGGUGCCCGGAUCAACUGCAGCUGCAAUGUUCAUGGCGGGACUUAUCCUGGCGAGAGGCUGCCUGAUGACCUGAUGAUCUUCACGGUGACGUCCAGCAAGAUCGUGUACUAGCGCGCUCCUAUGGUGUACAGGCUAACGUGUGGCUGAUUUGGUUUCUGUGACUGUGUCGAUGGCUAGGAUUGUAUUCGGUCAAUUACUGUAAAUUUUGUUCUUUAAUAAAAGAGGAACUUUCCUGGUUCACAGUCUGUUUUCAUUCUGUUUUAUGUCGUGGUCAGUGGUUGUCGGGAACCCAGACCAUUACAUAUUCUGCCUCGUGUCGCUAUCUUGGGUCCCGAACCAAGAGAACGACACAGGCCAGAAAGGAUAUGUAGCUAGUUAAGCUUGCUUGAGUUACGUUUUAUGUACAUGUACAGGCUUGAUUCACAUAUUUCAGUAUCAUUUUGGUGUCUUCUUGCGUUUUGCAAAGAUGUUUUGUAGAUGUAGCUUAGUUUAGUCGCCUUUUGUAAGCAGCUUUGUGCAUUUCAUGUAGACUUCCACAUUUCCGUUAUUUUGUAGAGGUUGUUUGUAGCCCUUCAAAUUUGUAGCCUUUGGCAAUUUCCCUAAUUAAAGGCUUAUGCUGCAACACAUACACACACACACACACUAACAAACUAACCCCAA